GUGGAAAAAACACAUUUUAAAUCAGGGAUUUUAAAUCAGCUGCCAUCCACCUGAUUUAAAAUGUUAAGAUCAUGGGACACGCUGGGAAUUUUAAAAAUUGAAGUGAUAUUAAGUCAGGCCACCUGACUUAAAAACAUUUCAUAAUUAAAAUAAAAAUAUAAUUAAUAAAAUAGAAAACGAAAGAUGGUUCUCAGUCUUCUCACAAACGUGACCUUCUCCCUCAACACGGACAAAACCGAACCCUAAACGCCUCUUCGCCGCGAACUUCUCCCUCUUUGCAACGAAGCCCUAAACACCUCUCCACGAAUCCCCUCUCUCUGAUGCCUCUCGGCGAACCUUCCUUCCUCUGCGACGAAAUCCUUUCUACUACCACCGGUGACUUUGUUCUUCCGCCUCGUUGUUCAGAGUUUUCAAGAGUUUUCAAGGAUUUUUCAACAUUUCUCUUCGUUGUUGCCGCCAUCAUCACGUUCAAGUCUUAAUCAAUAUGUAUCCCUAUUUCUUCAUGUAUGUACAUGCUUUGGAUAUAGAGAUUGGGAACAUGUAGGAAAGCAUUCUAAAUAUGAAUUACCACUUUUGAUGGUUAUGUAAGUUUAUAAUAUAUUUUUGUUGGAUUGCAUACUCUUUAUUUGAUAGUUCUUGAAAGUUGUUGUGCUUGUUGCUAACUAUAAGUUGUUGGAUGGUUUCUUAGUUCCCUUGUGAUUUAAGACUUUUUACCAAUUCACAGGUACUGAUUGCUUGUAGAAUUUUUGGUUGUGCUUUUUCUCUUUUAAUUUGGUAGUUUAGAAGCAAUGAUAAUUCUUAUGGACGAUUGUACUUUUUAGCAAUAUUGUGAUCAGAAUUUUGUAUUCUUUGCAAGUUAUACAUUUUAUGGAUAUGGUUAUACUUGAAAACCAAUAGAGAGGUAUCAUUAGUUGAAGCUUGUUUGGAAUCUUCAUUUUUAGUUCUCUUCAUUGACCAACUGAUUGAAAUGAUAUACUAUUCUCAAGUUCUAUCAAUAGACAGACAUUGAUUAUUAUCAUAACUUUCAGGAUAUAUUACAAACUCAAUGGCACUAAGGAUUGGUUGCUUUAAUCAAAGGAAUUUUCUAUUUGUCAUGCGAGAAGUUAAAGUUUGAAAUAAUAUAGUUGGUUUCUUGAACCCUUAAGUUAGCAUGUGGAAAAUUUAAAUUGAACGUAAUGUAUUGUCAAACACCAUUUAUUGUGAGUAUAUAAGUUUUGUUUGUCUUUAGCUUAGAGCUUACCCUUUUGUUUUGUCUUUAGUUAGCAUUUGGUAGAAUUAGAAAAUGUGUCUAAUGCUUAGUAUAUAUCAUAAGUAAAACUGAUACUAUUCUUUGGCACUGAUCUAUUGAUUUGUUCUUUUCUAUUGUGAUUCUUUCUUAUCUUGUAGGCAUUUCUUGUUAUGUCUUUAUGGAAUAAUUGGCAAUUGGCAUGACUUAGUUUUUGCAAGGAGUUGAAAAAAUUAAGAGUUAAAGAUCAUCAAACACGGCUACAAAUGUCAUUCAGACACCUUCACAAGAAUGGAGAGGAUUGAUUCAACCCAGCGAUUUUAAGAAUGGUCUCCCGAAACCAACUUAUAAGUUAACUGUUAAAGUAGGAGACAAAGUUAAGCAUACAAAUAGAAGGAAUCGAGGUUACAAGUAUAAAUUUGUAACUUUAUGGUUUAUAAUUGAUGAUUCUAGGUAUAUGAUAUUAACUCUAUUAUUAUGGAAUGAUUUUAGUAUAUAUAAGUAUAAUUUAUGCUAUUAGGUGUAUGGUACUCUAUUAUUAUAGUAUGAUGAUUUUAGUGUAGAAGUAUAAUUUUGUAACUUUAUGUUAUUAAUGGAUGAUUUUGGAUU